GGAUUAGCGGCGGACGGGUGAGUAACACGUGGGUAACCUGCCCUAUAGAGAGGGAUAGCCUUCCGAAAGGGAGAUUAAUACCUCAUAAUAUCCUAGUAUCGCAUGAUACAUGGAUUAAAGGAGCAAUCCGCUAUAGGAUGGACCCGCGGCGCAUUAGCUAGUUGGUGAGGUAACGGCUCACCAAGGCGACGAUGCGUAGCCGACCUGAGAGGGUGAUCGGCCACAUUGGGACUGAGACACGGUCCAGACUCCUACGGGAGGCAGCAGUGGGGAAUAUUGCACAAUGGGCUAAAGCCUGAUGCAGCAACGCCGCGUGAGCGAUGAAGGCCUUCGGGUCGUAAAGCUCUGUCCUCAAGGAAGAUAAUGACGGUACUUGAGGAGGAAGCCCCGGCUAACUACGUGCCAGCAGCCGCGGUAAUACGUAGGGGGCUAGCGUUAUCCGGAAUUACUGGGCGUAAAGGGUGCGUAGGCGGUCUUUCAAGCCAGAAGUGAAAGGCUACGGCUCAACCGUAGUAAGCUUUUGGAACUGUAAGACUUGAGUGCAGGAGAGGAGAGUGGAAUUCCUAGUGUAGCGGUGAAAUGCGUAGAUAUUAGGAGGAACACCAGUAGCGAAGGCGGCUCUCUGGACUGUAACUGACGCUGAGGCACGAAAGCGUGGGGAGCAAACAGGAUUAGAUACCCUGGUAGUCCACGCCGUAAACGAUGAGUACUAGGUGUCGGGGGUUACCCCCCUCGGUGCCGCAGCUAACGCAUUAAGUACUCCGCCUGGGAAGGACGGUCGCAAGAUUAAAACUCAAAGGAAUUGACGGGGACCCGCACAAGCAGCGGAGCAUGUGGUUUAAUUCGAAGCAACGCGAAGAACCUUACCUACACUUGACAUCCCUUGCAUUACCCUUAAUCGGGGAAAUCUCUUCGGAGACAAGGUGACAGGUGGUGCAUGGUUGUCGUCAGCUCGUGUCGUGAGAUGUUGGGUUAAGUCCCGCAACGAGCGCAACCCCUAUUGUUAGUUGCUACCAUUAAGUUGAGCACUCUAGCGAGACUGCCUGGGUUAACCAGGAGGAAGGUGGGGAUGACGUCAAAUCAUCAUGCCCCUUAUGUGUAGGGCUACACACGUGCUACAAUGGCAAGUACAGAGAGACGCAAAACCGUGAGGUCGAGCAAAUCCCUUAAAACUUGUCCCAGUUCGGAUUGUAGGCUGAAACUCGCCUACAUGAAGCCGGAGUUGCUAGUAAUCGCGAAUCAGAAUGUCGCGGUGAAUACGUUCCCGGGUCUUGUACUCACCGCCCGUCA
rnacentral:rRNA from 1 species